rnacentral:rRNA from 1 species
CUAUUGAUUGUAAACCCCUUUUCUAAGGAAAGAAAAAAAUGACGGUACCUUAGGAAUAAGCAUCGGCUAACUCUGUGCCAGCAGCCGCGGUAAUACAGAGGAUGCAAGCGUUAUCCGGAAUUAUUGGGCGUAAAGAGUCCGUAGGGGGCAUUCCAAGUCUGUCGUUAAAGACCGCAGCUUAACUGCGGGUAGGCGAUGGAAACUGGGAAGCUAGAGAGCAGUAGGGGCAGAGGGAAUUUCCAGUGUAGCGGUGAAAUGCGUAGAGAUUGGAAAGAACAUCGGUGGCGAAAGCGCUCUGCUGGGCUGAAUCUGACCCUGAGGGACGAAAGCUAGGGGAGCA